rnacentral:rRNA from 1 species
UACAGAGGGGGCAAGCGUUAUUCGGAAUUACUGGGCGUAAAGGGCGCGUAGGCGGCCAUCUAAGUCAGACGUGAAAUCCCCCGGCUUAACCUGGGAACUGCGUCUGAUACUGGACGGCUUGAGUAUGGGAGAGGGAUGUAGAAUUCCAGGUGUAGCGGUGAAAUGCGUAGAUAUCUGGAGGAAUACCGGUGGCGAAGGCGGCAUCCUGGACCGAAACUGACGCUGAGGCGCGAAAGCUAGGGGAGCAAACGGG